CAAGACCGGCAUUAUGGGAGUC
rnacentral:miRNA from 3 species